rnacentral:lncRNA from 1 species
GCUAAAUACACAAUAUGGGAAUGUAUUUUAAAUUCUCAGCUCUUUUGUUCCCCUCUUAAGAAAAUACAUUUAGUUCUGAGCUGAACAAUGCUGCACUUCUACCACUGCACAAAGUCAAUAAGGUACAGCAGUAUAUCCGUGAGCAGUCAACUGCAGGAUCGAAGCACCACUGGGCAUAAGUCUUAAUUGGUGUGAGUGAGUCUCCUUGACUUAAUUGUGACUAUUUGCUUAACUAAAGAUCUCAUGGGCAUCUACCUAAACUAGCAAUCUUGGAACAAAAUGAAAACCUGGGUCAUAACAUGGGGAGAUGAAAUCCUGGCCUCUUUGAAAUCCAGGUCAAAACUCCCAUUGCCUUCAGUGGUGCAGGAUUUCAGCCUGGAUGUUUUUGCUUGGGGGAUAAUCCUUUCUGGAUACACAGCGGCAGUAAAACCCUUUUGACUGGUCUCUCUCUGUGUAAUCAAGCAUGAGAAACAGGAAGGAGAAAAGGUUCUGACACUGUAAUAAAAAUGUUCAGAGGUCAAGUUUUUAAAAAGACACUUCAACAUCGGACAACAGCAAAGUUGUAUGCGAGACAUGUGGAGCACAUUUAUCGAUUGCCCACAGCAGCCAAAAUGACGUUACCCAGCACCUUCAAAGCAGAGAUGCUGAUAAAAGAUAAGUGCCAACCUGCUAAAGAAGCUCUUU